UACGGAGGAGGCAAGCGUUAUCCGGAAUUAUUGGGCGUAAAGCGUCCGCAGGUGGCACUUCAAGUCUGUCGUCAAAGACUGGGGCUUAACCCUGGAAAGGCGGUGGAAACUGAAGCGCUAGAGUGCGGUAGGGGUAGAGGGAAUUCCCGGUGUAGCGGUGAAAUGCGUAGAUAUCGGGAAGAGCACCAGUGGCGAAAGCGCUCUACUGGGCCAUAACUGACACUGAGGGACGAAAGCUAGGGGAGCGAAAGGG
rnacentral:rRNA from 1 species